UUGUUGGCCCUCCUCAGGUCAAUCUACAAUGCACAACAAUAUAAUUGAUUUGUAAAAGAUAGUGUGAGAAACACAUUUUCAAGAUAUCAUAAGGGCCACAUUUGAAAUUUUUCUUUAAGGGAAAAAUUUUGCUUUGACAGAAGCAGCAAGAAAACAUGCCCACUUCAAUAGAAUUUUGGAAGAAAAGAGGAAGGAGGAAGAGAGAAGGAGGAAAGAAGGAGGGUGGGGGGUGUUGGGGGUGGGGAAGAGUGGGGUUGGUGGUGGGGGCAUUAUUGAGGUUGAGCAUAUCUUCUACAUAAGACAUAAUCUGCAGCAGCAAUUAUAGUAUAUUAACGAUAAAACUUGCACUACGUAAGUAGAUUUAAGAAACAACAGGUAUUCAGAGAGAUGGCACACAUUCCUUGGCUAUUUUAUUUGCAUGGUUAUACAACACAAUCGCAAUUAAUAGUUAACUCAGCUUGUUGAAGUUCACUACAUGAAUCUUUUUUUCUCCAUUCCUCGGCCCCAUAUUGUCCAUGAGAUAUUUGAAGUCAAAUCCUUUCCUACAACUUCAGCCCAAGUCAUUUUCAUUAUCUCUUCCAGUUUAGCACUUGCAAUUUACGACUUAGUAUUUAUUAAUUUGAAUUGUUACUGUAAUAGCAGUUAGAACUUUAAUGUUAAAGUAUUUGAUAAAUAACAAAUAGAACUUGCAUAGAGUACUAUCAUACACUGCUGUAUUAGCAAUCAUUCACUGCCACAUCAAGCAAAAGAAUAAAUUUUGAUGUGUCUCAUCAGGACUAGAGUACUCUUAAAUAUCACAUGCUAGGAAAGAAACUAAUCACAUUGAUUAUUUUAACUACUCAACUUCAAAACCAAUGAUGCUUACUGUAAACACAAAUAUCAAAGGGAUUAAACUCAUAUUUUCAUGCUUCUCUUUUGUAUUCUUAAUAUAUGUCAUGCGUCUUAUAUAUUCUGUGUCCUGGAAUCAAACUGCUAGAAAGCUAAUUAAUUAUUAGACUUCCCAUGAAGUUAAUUCAGUAAGAAAGCAUCAAUUAAAAACAUAGACAACAUUUAAUAGCAGCCAAAAUGGGAUUGCAUUCACCCUUAGAAACUUUACACUCACCGUAUCAAACUUUUCAUAGUGGAAUCUGUGUAUAUAGACUUUGAAUAAUUGGUUAAAAAAGCAAUCAUACAAAUGUAGUGAAUAUUAAAAAACAAAAAACCCUAACAAGAAUAACAAAUUCCAGAAUCAUUUGUCAUAAUAGCUCAGCAUUACAGAAUUGAUAUAGACGAUUCAAGUGUUAGUUGUGCAUGUCUAAUCAGAGCUGAAUCAAGUUGUCUUCUUCACAAGAAAAUAGCACCUUAAAAUUUCUUAAUUACAGAAGGCAAGAAAGAGGGUGCCAAAAAAAAAAAGAAGCAAAAAUAGCAUGACAAUGGAAAAUCCUUGACAUAAAAUUUAUUCUAGUAAUGAAUAAUAAGAGUACCAGAUGAACUUUGUCAGUUUUUGA
rnacentral:misc_RNA from 1 species